GAAAGAUCCACUCAGCUACUCAACCCUCCGCCAGUCACACUUGAAUCAACGAAUACCCUGACUGUCUCUGCCUGCCCUGUCCCCGUUCUCACCAGACUCUGGAAGUCUUCUACUGAAAAUUGCAAAUAGCACAUGCAAUUCUGAUUUCUUUGAAAAGAAAUCUAGUUUUGAAAGGAAAGGGAAACCCAACAAUGGUUUAAAUUUUUAGGUUGCAGUGAGAUGGACAAUGGUGAUCACUCUGUCUGGGUGAGGAAUCGAAUUAGCUACUUGGAUUAGAAG